rnacentral:lncRNA from 1 species
AAUUAGCCUCACUGUCAUUCGUGUCAAGCUCACUCGUCUCCACGGUUGCCAAAAUAUAGUACAGCUAUCUGAUAUCGACUCGCGGUAGCUCUCCUUUGGAGCAGUCACCAUUUUAAAGGCAUCAGCUGCAAAUGCGAAGCGCAGUAAUGACCCAGGAUUCUGAAAGAAAAAGAAAAGAAAAGAAAACCACAUAGGAGUUGAUGAAAAUGAAAGCUUACCUGGGGAAGGAGGAAGAAUAAGAUGCUAACCGUAUAAGAGAUCUCGAUCAAGAACUUGUUUGGGCAUGGUUCACAGAUGGACCAUCACGAAUACCAGUAGUACCAUCUGCCUUUAGCUCGAGGACUACCUGCUUAAACCAGUGUCAGCUGUGCGAGGAAACGAUUGCAAUAGCAUCAACCUCCAUCACAGCAAGACCAUCCCUCACGGGAAGUGGAGUUGGAGCACGUACAGCUACAAGUGAUACACCAGCUAGUACAAAACCUGAUGGCACGUCGCCUUUGGAAUCGCUAUCGGCUACAGUCUGCGUCUUUCCAAAGGGCGAACGGUGGUAUCCUGAUCACAACAAUUACCAGUGAAACAAAGACUCAAGCCAAGAAAAAGAACGUCCCCACCUAUUGUAGAGAAUUCCAUCUCGAGAAAAGGUUUGUUCGCCGCCCUUGCAUCACAGUCGUGAACCGGAAUUCAUAGAGAUCCGUUCGGCGAGCUUAGAAUCUCUCCAAACGCGCCGGCAUUCCAUACCGCGGGCCAACACAUGGCGUCGAUCGAGAACGUAGAAAGU